UACGUAGGGGGCUAGCGUUGUCCGGAAUCAUUGGGCGUAAAGAGCGUGUAGGCGGUCCGGUAAGUCCGCUGUGAAAGUCGGGGGCUCAACCCUCGAAUGCCGGUGGAUACUGUCGGGCUAGAGUGCGGAAGAGGCGAGUGGAAUUCCUGGUGUAGCGGUGAAAUGCGCAGAUAUCAGGAGGAACACCUAUUGCGAAGGCAGCUCGCUGGGACGGUACUGACGCUGAGACGUGAAAGCGUGGGGAGCGAACAGG
rnacentral:rRNA from 1 species